GAUGAACGCUGGCGGCGUGCCUAAUACAUGCGAGUCGAGCGAACAGACGAGGAGCUUGCUCCUCUGACGUUAGCGGCGGACGGGUGAGUAACACGUGGAUAACCUACCUAUAAGACUGGGAUAACUUCGGGAAACCGGAGCUAAUACCGGAUAAUAUAUUGAACCGCAUGGUUCAAUAGUGAAAGACGGUUUUGCUGUCACUUAUAGCUGGAUCCGCGCCGCAUUAGCUAGUUGGUAAGGUAACGGCUUACCAAGGCGACGAUGCGUAGCCGACCUGAGAGGGUGAUCGGCCACACUGGAACUGAGACACGGUCCAGACUCCUACGGGAGGCAGCAGUAGGGAAUCUUCCGCAAUGGGCGAAAGCCUGACGGAGCAACGCCGCGUGAGUGAUGAAGGUCUUCGGAUCGUAAAACUCUGUUAUUAGGGAAGAACAAAUGUGUAAGUAACUAUGCACGUCUUGACGGUACCUAAUCAGAAAGCCACGGCUAACUACGUG
rnacentral:rRNA from 1 species